rfam:Picea glauca, whole genome shotgun sequence.
ACAUGCCUACAACAUAGCGUUAAUGUAUCAGAUCCCAUUAGAACUCCACAGUUAAGCGUGCUCAGGCUAGAGUAAUACUGGGAGAAGUCCUAGUGUUUUACAUGCC